CUCAAUCCCUUCACCCUUGUUUACUCAACCUCAUUCUUUUGCAUCUCAUCCAAUUUAACCCUAUUCCUCACAACAUCAGAAAGAACUAAUAUUUUCUGAUAGCACUUCUAUUGCCUUUUUUUUUUCUUCCUACUUAAUAGUGGAUUUCAGGCUAUAAAAAUUGCAACAUGUGUGCUUUGUCGACUUUGAUUACAUCCUAUCAAUUGUACGUUUGUGACUGUUUUACUACCUUAACAAGUGUAAUUUCCGAUUAAAUGUCAUUUUAUUUUGUAUGGAAAGCAUUGGAGAGCUAUGAUGCACAAUAAGAUAUUGGCCGAUGCUAUGAAUGCUAGGUUUAAACUGAGUUUUUUGGUGGACCGCAAGGUUCAGGUUUAACCCAGCAGUUACAUCAGCAUUCAAGACAGGGCAGAUGUAACUCCUGAACUCCAUGGCAUACCAAUUCGCCAUUCACCUAGUAAUUCUCCUGCAAGUUCUUCAACAUUAUUUCAAGUUGGUACUCAUAGGGGGUACGGGCAUGAGAACACAAGAUGAUUCCCUACUCCUACUCUAUCUUCGCUGUAUAUGGGCAAGAAUGUUGAUAGGAAAUAGACAAUUGUUUUGAACCUAGCAUUGCACUGGAAGAUCAAUGUCACAACUUCCACAAGUUACACCAACUUACCCAUCAUCAUUAGAUUCAACAAUGGUCGGGUUUUGUAGACAAGGAUUGGUUGGACAUUCAUUUGAUCCUUCGUGAGAGUUUUACCACAAUAAAAUUGUAAUUUCCUUGAUUAAAUAGACAGUGCUCAAGUCUGUCAUCUAGAUACAUGUUUGCCUUUGAUAAAUCGCUUUCAAGUAGCCGUUUUAUCAAAUGAAAACAAGUCAACUGAAAGCAUGAGGCAUGCCCAAAAGAGGUCCAUUAAGGAUAUGGACAAUUUUAAGAUCAAACGCCAAAAAUUGCAUGUUACAGGCCAGUAUAUCUUGAACAGAAAACGACAUUGAUUUGGAAAUCGAUCUGAGAACAUGAGGCCCCACUCUUGUAAGUGAUGAGAUGCUCCUCUCUUUUCCUAAAACACGUAUUAGCGAUAGUAAGAUCAAAAGGCGAUGAAAAAUCUAAGAUGGAAUUACCCUCCGCAUUUAACUCCCCGAGACCAUACCUUCCAUGCACGCCCUCGAAACACUCCCUACAUGCCCAUUUAAAUCACCUCCUAGAAAGAUCUUUUCUCCUAAUGGGAUAUCCUGAAUUAAGCCUUCUAGCUCCCCUUAAGGUGUGCUUCUAACCCUAUAUGAGGUGCAUAAGCGCUAAUUACGUUAAAGAUGUCUUGUUCCACUACAAACUUUAGGGCUAUAAUCCGAUCUCCUAUCCUUUUAACAUCCACAAUAUCUUUCUUCCACUCCUUAUCCACAAUUAUGCCUACCCCAUUUCUCGAUCUAACUUCGCCCGUGUACCAAAGCUUAAAUCCUGAACUAUCUAAUUCUUUCGCCUUUUUCCUCACCCACUUAGUCUCUUGUAGGCACAUAAAAUUGAUCCUCCUCCUAAUCAUAGUGUCUACUAUUUCUAUAGAUUUACCCGUAAGAGUACCUAUAUUCCAAGUUCCAAAACGAAUCCUACUCUAAUGAACUAGCUUCUUUACCCGCACCCGUUUACGUAGAUGUGGGAACCCUUGCUUAUUUUUCACUACAUCCAGACGGCGAUGCAGUGGCCCUUGUUCAUUUGACACUGUACUCAUUGCUACCGGGCAACGACCUAGCAUUCACACUAUUCAGUAUUUGAUCUUUGUCAUAGAGAUUCGAUAAAGUUUUACGUUGGCUGUCGAGACCUAACACAACCCUCUCCUUUUACUCAGGCUUGGGGCCGGCCUUAGCAUGAUUUAGCAUACAACAAUUUAAAAUAUUUGAAAGGCAACAAACAAUAUCCUCACUUCAAAUUCUCCGAAUAUAGAGGGGACUUUAGAUUCAACUAAAUUUACUUCUUGGAGGUGGUUACGUGCUAGAAAAAGAGGUGGGGGUCAUAUAUCUGUUUUAAAUAGUUUUUUUUAGCCCUUUUCUUUGU